rnacentral:rRNA from 1 species
AGAGUUUGAUCCUGGCUCAGGAUGAACGCUGGCGGCGUGCUUAACACAUGCAAGUCGAGCGAAGCGCUUAAGUUUGAUUCUUCAGAUGAAGACUUUUGUGACUGAGCGGCGGACGGGUGAGUAACGCGUGGGUAACCUGCCUCAUACAGGGGGAUAACAGUUAGAAAUGACUGCUAAUACCGCAUAAGACCACAGGGUCGCAUGACCCGGUGGUAAAAACUCCGGUGGUAUGAGAUGGACCCGCGUCUGAUUAGCUAGUUGGUGGGGUAACGGCUCACCAAGGCGACGAUCAGUAGCCGACCUGAGAGGGUGACCGGCCACAUUGGGACUGAGACACGGCCCAAACUCCUACGGGAGGCAGCAGUGGGGAAUAUUGCACAAUGGGCGAAAGCCUGAUGCAGCGACGCCGCGUGAAGGAUGAAGUAUUUCGGUAUGUAAACUUCUAUCAGCAGGGAAGAAAAUGACGGUACCUGACUAAGAAGCCCCGGCUAACUACGUGCCAGCAGCCGCGGUAAUACGUAGGGGGCAAGCGUUAUCCGGAUUUACUGGGUGUAAAGGGAGCGUAGACGGCAUGGCAAGUCUGAAGUGAAAGCCCGGGGCUCAACCCCGGGACUGCUUUGGAAACUGUCAGGCUAGAGUGCUGGAGAGGUAAGUGGAAUUCCUAGUGUAGCGGUGAAAUGCGUAGAUAUUAGGAGGAACACCAGUGGCGAAGGCGGCUUACUGGACAGUAACUGACGUUGAGGCUCGAAAGCGUGGGGAGCAAACAGGAUUAGAUACCCUGGUAGUCCACGCCGUAAACG